CGCCUGGCUCUCGGCCCACACCUUCCAACCAUGGUUAAGUGUGGUGCUCCAUUAAUUAAGGCCUUGUUUAGAUGUAAUUUUUUUUGAAAUUUGAUAUUAUAGCACUUUCGUUUGUAUUUAACAAGCAUUGUCUAAACAUGGACUAACUAAACUCAAAAGAUUCGUCUCGUAAUUUACAGGUAAACUGUGCAAUUAGUUAUUUUUAUCUAUAUUUAAUACUUCAUUUAUGCAUCUAAAAAUUCGAUAUGAUGAAGAAUCUUGUAAACUUUUGAAAUUUUAGUUACAUCUAAACAAUAAGAUAUUAUCAUCGGAUGCGAUCCGACAGUAGUGUCUAGCAUAUGCACCUUGAUGAUGGUAAUAAAAGUACAAGGAUCUAGCGUAGCGUGGCGUUCACUCCACACCUGUUUUGUGCUGCCCUGCAUUGCUCCGGUCCCAGCCCAUAUGAUCACGAAUCCAUUUGCUACGAUCGGAUUAGUACAAACAAAAAAGUCUGUUCGUCAUCCUCUACUACUGCCUGUAGUAAUAAAAUACAUGCUCGUGUACAUUGUGCAUGUAUAUAUAAACUAUGCAAUUGAUU
rnacentral:lncRNA from 1 species